GGAGUACUGGAAACAAUGAGAAAACUGAUUCAGACAAACAUGAACCCUCAUUUACCCUCCCUUUGAGAGAGACUCAGACAAUCUCUCUCCCCCAUCCCCUCCCCCCACUCAGUGACAUUAUUUGGCCAUUUUUUUUUACCUAGUCAUUUUUUAAGAGGAGAAUCAACAGUGUUUUCUUUAAUGUGGACGCUUUAUUUCUCCUUUUCAACCUCAGCCCUAAUUAUGUUUUGGUCUCUUCCAACCCCGACACUGCCUUUCUUUUUGGAUUAAUACACAAUCUCAGAAAAGACUCAUCUUUGAGUUUGAUUUUAGGCAUUUCCCAUGCCUUGAGCGGACGAUCGCCUGGCCAGGGCCUACGGGACCACCUUUUUCAACACCUCACCUGGCAUGGGCUCUGCCUUAAAACCACAGUAUGUAAUAUGAGAUUGAAAAUGAAAACAGAAACACUCUGAACUGGAGUUAAGAUUAGCAAAUGCUGUGAAAAUUCCAGCACCUACACGUGGAAGUUAUUAAUGAAUCAAUGAUUACACAACUACUACUCAAAGGCAUCUCUGUUUUCCCUGAUGAAUCGUGAUGGAAUGGAAGCAAACCUUUUAAGCCUCCCAUGCCUUGCUGAUGCUUACCUCUGCCAUCUGAAAGCCCUUGGGCCAAGUGUUGCCAUUGCUAACUCUCAGGAUUUAAGGGGGUGCAAUAACCAUUCCUAAAGAAGAUGUGUGGCCUAGAAACAUACCCCUGAAGCUGUUGAUCGUCCCGCCGGUAAGCAUGGCUGCUUGAAAGAACAAGAACUCUGGUGCACUUACUGCUCUUCACCCAGGAAAGGAGGGCUUCACAAAAUGACCUGGAUUUGUACUUUGAAACAUCAUGGAAGGAAGGAAGGAUAAGGAAAUACAAGGACCAAGUUAGAUCUCUCUUACACUGUAAGCACAACCUCUCAGUAGCUUCAAAACAAAUCACCAAUCUGGUACAUCCACAGUUUUUUUUUUAAAGUUCUGGAUAAAUUUAGUGGUUGCGUGGCAUUAUGACGUUUUCACCUCCAGAGCUUUUAAUAAGUACUGAAAAUAUAGGUCCAGAUCUAGAGUGAACCUAUUUCUUUAGUCUGAAGUUUACCUCUGAACGAGGCACGACAAGCUGUAAAUCCUAAUUUUUACCUUCCCCGUUAGCCGUCGGCCCCAUCACAAAAAGGAACUGCAUCUAAAAUCCCGUGAGAUAUUGCCCGGUUCGUGCAUAUCUUAAAAUUAUGAUUGAGAAUAUGAUUUUUAGAACUUAAUUUUAAGCGAUAUUUGUUUCGGUAUUUUCUUACUCUAACUUUUAAUAAAUUUAACAAGGCCAGUUGGCUAAUAUACAGACCUUAAUAAAUGGUGAUCUUAUUUGGA